CCUACGGGUGGCAGCAGUGAGGAAUAUUGGUCAAUGGGCGCGAGCCUGAACCAGCCAAGUAGCGUGAAGGAUGACUGCCCUACGGGUUGUAAACUUCUUUUAUAAAGGAAUAAAGUGAGGCACGUGUGCCUUUUUGUAUGUACUUUAUGAAUAAGGAUCGGCUAACUCCGUGCCAGCAGCCGCGGUAAUACGGAGGAUCCGAGCGUUAUCCGGAUUUAUUGGGUUUAAAGGGAGCGUAGAUGGGUUGUUAAGUCAGUUGUGAAAGUUUGCGGCUCAACCGUAAAAUUGCAAUUGAUACUGGCAGUCUUGAGUACAGUUGAGGUAGGCGGAAUGCGCAGUGUAGCGGUGAAAUGCUUAGAUAUUGCGCAGAACUCCGAUUGCGAAGGCAGCAUACCGGCGGCGAUCUGACGCUGAGGCACGAAAGCGUGGGUAUCGAACAGGAUUAGAUACCCUAGUAGUC
rnacentral:rRNA from 1 species